UUGAUAGCGUUAGUAAAUUAUAUUUAGUAUGUAAACGAGUCGUGUAUAUAUCGACCGCCGGGCAUACGAGCUCAUAGCGAGAUAGGGACCGACGUCACCAAGUGUAUUGUCAUUCAUAGUUCGAUAACGAAUACUUGGAAGAAUAAACUAACGUCAUGUACAUUAACCUACACGUGUUUACGUUCAUCUGUGUGCGUGACAGGUUUAGUAAAGCAUAUUUAGUAUGUAAACGAAGCAUGUUAAUCGACCGCAGGUC